UAAAGAGUCAAGUUCCCUGCGGGUUGUGCC
rnacentral:piRNA from 1 species